rnacentral:lncRNA from 1 species
GGGAAUUUUAAUUAUUGGCAAUGGUCACUGUACAAAGCUCAAUUUAACUCGCGGCCCAACAAACCCAACCUAAUGACCCAAACCUCAGCCCAAUAACCCACGGCCCGAUGGUCUAAUAACUUAAAGCUUUUAGAAAACCCUAAUCCCCCCUAACCCUUGAUGCGCCGCUCCCUAAGGCCUGUCACCAUCGCUUGCGCCGUACACCAGCCUUCUGACCUCUGUUGGCCGCCGUUCAUCACGUCCCAUCCGCGUCUGCUCCACCUGCAAUGAGAAGAAAACACGCAACAAAAAGGGAGACGAUAGCAAAAUAGAAGGGGGGAAUCGGCUAUAAAGGCCGAUUUUUAUUUAUAUUUCAAAGGGGGAUUUUUGUAAUAAAAAAAAACAUUAGUAGAAAGAAAUAAAAGCAAAGAACAGAUUCAAGGUGAUUUUUUUAUAUAUUAGAUUCACAUUUCAUUUUUUUUUCUUUUUUCUUUUGUAUAGUAAAUAGAAAAUAAAAAAAAGGGAAGGGGGACUCACCGGAAGUGGCCAUGGUUACACCGUCGGAGGGUCUCUCCUCCGUCGCCCGAAUCGGGUCCAAGGGGCCGAGAGCCUCCCUUUUGUUUCACUCCUUGCGCGUUGAGAGAGCCUGGCUCUCAAGGGCACCACAAAGGGGGUUAGAUGGCCUUCAUUUCCGGUGCCGACAGCCGGCUACGAGGUGGCGCGACGGAGGCCUAAGAAGGCCGCCGGCCGGAUAUGAGGAAUGGGGGUUGAGAGAGAAUUAGGGAGACUCAGUUUUUUGAAAAAGUAUGGGGUAAAAUGUUU